rnacentral:snRNA from 1 species
AUCUUUGCGCUGGGGCAUUAUUCAGUACAAUGAGGUCCCGGCCGAGUAUGAAUUAUUGCUAGUUGAAAACUAUACCAAUGCUCUUUAACUUUGGCCUCGUGCCGGUUAAGAAUUUCUGACUUGGGUGCUUGCACC